rnacentral:rRNA from 1 species
AACGAACGCUGGUGGCCUGCCUAACACAUGCAUGUCGAACGAGACCUUCUGCUCUUUUGUCGCACGGAUGCGUAACGCGUGGGAAUCUGCCCUUGGGUUCGGAAUAACAUUUGGAAACGACUGCUAAUACCGGAUGAUGACGUACGUCCAAAGAUUUAUCGCCCAGGGAUGAGCCCGCGUAGGAUUAACUAGUUGGUGGGGUAAAGGCCUACCAAGGAGACGAUCCUUAGCUGGUCUGAGAGGAUGAUCAGCCACACUGGGACUGACACACGGCCCAGACUCCUACCGGAGGCAGCAUUGGGGAAUAUUGUACCAUGGGCGAAUGCCUGAUCCAGUGAUGCCGCUUGAGUGAUGAAGGCCUUAAGGUUGUAUAGCUCUUUUACCCGGGAUGAUGAUGACAGUACCGGGAGAAUAAGCCCCGGCUAACUCCGUGCCAGCAGCCGCGGUAAUACGGAGGGGGCUAGCGUUGUUCGGAAUUACUGGGCGUAGAGCGCACGUAGGCGGCUUUGUAAGUUAUAGGUGAAAGCCUGGAGCUUAACUCCAGAACUGCCUUUAAGACUGCUAUCGCUUGAAUCCAGGAGAGGUGAGUGGAAUUCCGAGUGUAGAGGUGAAAUUCGUAGAUAUUCGGAAGAACACCAGUGGCGAAGGCGGCUCACUGGACUGGUAUUGACGCUGAGGUGCGAAAGCGUGGGGAGCAAACAGGAUUAGAUACCCUGGUAGUCCACGCCGUAAACGAUGAUAACUAGCUGUCCGGGUGCUUGGCAUUUGGGUGGCGCAGCUAACGCAUUAAGUUAUCCGCCUGGGGAGUACGGUCGCAAGAUUAAAACUCAAAGGAAUUGACGGGGGCCUGCACAAGCGGUGGAGCAUGUGGUUUAAUUCUAAGCAACGCGCAGAACCUUACCAGUGUUUGACAUGGUAGGACGACUGGCAGAGAUGCCUUUCUUCCCUUCGGGGACCUACACACAGGUGCUGCGUGGCUGUCGUCAGCUCGUGUCGUGAGAUGUUGGGUUAAGUCCCGCAACGAGCGCAACCCUCGCCUUUAGUUACCAUCAUUUAGUUGGGUACUCUAAAGGAACCGCCGGUGAUAAGCCGGAGGAAGGUGGGGAUGACGUCAAGUCCUCAUGGCCCUUACGCGCUGGGCUACACACGUGCUACAAUGGCAACUACAGUGGGCAGCAAUCCCGCGAGGGUGAGCUAAUCUCCAAAAGUUGUCUCAGUUCGGAUUGUUCUCUGCAACUCGAGAGCAUGAAGGCGGAAUCGUUAGUAAUCGCGGAUCAACAUGCCGCGGUGAAUAAGUUUUCAGGCCU